rnacentral:rRNA from 1 species
CUGGCGGCGUGCCUAAUACAUGCAAGUCGAACGCACUCUCGUUUAGAUUGAAGGAGCUUGCUCCUGAUUGAUAAACAUUUGAGUGAGUGGCGGACGGGUGAGUAACACGUGGGUAACCUGCCCUAAAGUGGGGGAUAACAUUUGGAAACAGAUGCUAAUACCGCAUAAAACCUAACACCGCAUGGUGUAGGGUUGAAAGAUGGUUUCGGCUAUCACUUUAGGAUGGACCCGCGGUGCAUUAGUUAGUUGGUGAGGUAAAGGCUCACCAAGACCGUGAUGCAUAGCCGACCUGAGAGGUAAUCGGCCACACUGGGACUGAGACACGGCCCAGACUCCUACGGAGGCAGCAGUAGGGAAUCUUCCACAAUGGACGAAAGUCUGAUGGAGCAACGCCGCGUGAGUGAAGAAGGUUUUCGGAUCGUAAAACUCUGUUGUUGGAGAAGAAUGUAUCUGAUAGUAACUGAUCAGGUAGUGACGGUAUCCAACCAGAAAGCCACGGCUAACUACGUG